rnacentral:lncRNA from 1 species
GCACAGUAUUCUACUCUAUAAGCUUACAUGCUCAUUAUUUAUCACCGUGGGAAUGUAGUUUAAUGGAUAAAGCAGGGCCCUGGGAUUCACAACUUCUUAUAAAACAGGAUAACAGAAAUAUUGGAAUUGCAGGAAUGGAUCAAACUGGUGGUCCUUUUAGUCUAAUAUAUUGUCUGAAAGUGGUUGAAAUGAUCUGCUUUCAAGAUAAGAUCUCCACCCCCCUGCAUUAGAUGGUUAUAGAAUAACUUUCCCACCCAGUUAAUUUCUUUAUAACUUCCAUUAGAGAUUGGCUCAAAGUACUUGUAAUACAGGCAAUAAUAUUCACAAGGAUGUCCUGUAAUACCUGAAUGUGUAAAGAGGGGAUCUUCAAGAAGCAGUCUGGACUGAGCAAUGAGACAGAAGCAUGAAGCUAAACAGCAGGUGGUAAUUCAGUGCACAGUUGAUUGCUGCUGGCUAGUCACCUGCUGGGGUAGAUAGGACUGCUUAACUUUAUAUGAAGAAAGAUGGGAAAGAGUUCAGAGUGGAAGAAAAUAGUCUGCUUUGCCCUAGGCUACUUCUCUCUAAAGCUUGAUUAGUUUUUGUAAAGUACUUUGAAUAGCACUGUAUUAGUGCAUAGGAUUAUUUGUUUCUAUUUUCAAUGGGAUAUUAAAAAAAGGUCACUGUCCCUUUAUUUUACCAGUGGGUCUCAAACCAAAGCUAUUGUUUCAAACGCAUUCAAAAACUGUGGGCUAGUUUGGCUUAGCAGUCCAGCCUGAUUAUGCACCUUUCUCAUAGCUUCCCGAAACUCCAUGAAGUACAUUUUUUUUACAUCAAGAACUAGCAGAGACAUACACUUAAAUGAAGUCCAGAAAACCAGUUUCACUUGGUGUUUUUUCAAGCUCCCGGGACACACAGUAGAUGAUGACAGAGAGCUGCAACACACCAGCAGUAUAAAAGAAGAUGCAGCCAUGAGCAGAGGAGAGGAGAAAUUCAGAAAGCAGAGCCCGGCACUGGGAAGGUUUGUUAGCCUCUGAAGGAUUCCUAAGGAGGGGAGACAAAAGGAUUAAAGGUGUUAGCCCCACCAGACCUGGGGAGCCAGCAGACCUGGGUAGGGAUAUUCAGGACUGUCCUCAUCUAUAAGAGGGGAAGCCCUGGGCAAACUGAGUACCAGAGUUUGAGGGAUUCAGUCUGUUUGACAGGACUGCACGUGCAGGUUCACCUUCAGUUUCACUUCAUUAGUGAGCACCCCAAGGGGGGCAGGUUUCUUUUGUUUCCUUGUUUGCAAGGAUGGUGUAGAGUGUGAAGGUUCCAUAUUGGUUUACAUUUAUUUUCUGGAUGUUGACUGGGGGCCUUCUGGAGGACCAGGAGAAUUGGAGCAACCCAGACCCUGAGAAGAAUUUUGGCUAGGG